rnacentral:rRNA from 1 species
UGGGGAAUAUUGCACAAUGGGCGCAAGCCUGAUGCAGCCAUGCCGCGUGUAUGAAGAAGGCCUUCGGGUUGUAAAGUACUUUCAGUCGGGAGGAAGGUGUCAAGGUUAAUAACCUUGGCAAUUGACGUUACCGACAGAAGAAGCACCGGCUAACUCCGUGCCAGCAGCCGCGGUAAUACGGAGGGUGCAAGCGUUAAUCGGAAUUACUGGGCGUAAAGCGCACGCAGGCGGUUGAUUGAGUCAGAUGUGAAAUCCCCGGGCUUAACCCGGGAAUUGCAUCUGAUACUGGUCAGCUAGAGUCUUGUAGAGGGGGGUAGAAUUCCAUGUGUAGCGGUGAAAUGCGUAGAGAUGUGGAGGAAUACCGGUGGCGAAGGCGGCCCCCUGGACAAAGACUGACGAUCAGGUGCGAAAGCGUGGGGAGCAAACAGG